UCCCCAAUAGCCCAGUUGGUAAAGAAUCUGCCUGUGAUGCAGGAGACCCUGGUUUGAUUCCUGGGUUGGGAA
rfam:TPA: Bos taurus chromosome 26, whole genome shotgun sequence.